GUUCAUCUCAUGUCUAAAAAAUCCCCAAGAGUCUCUCUUUCUACUAGUAGAUGUUCAAAGUCUUUAGAUUUUCAAAUAAUUCUUUCUCCAGAAGUAUGUACUGAUUGUAAUUCAAGCCUAAUUCAAGAAGAUUAUACGUGUAUUUUUCCCUGUUCUUCACUUUCCACGUGGUAGUCUCUUCUUUCUUCCGCUUUCUUCUUCGCUGAAACUCCGUCGCUUUUUCAUUUUGUUGCUCGUUCUUUUCUUCCCCAGGUAAUUUCUCUCCGUUGGGUUUCUAUAUUUUCUUUAUGCUAUUUUGUUUUUUUUACGUUAGCGUCUCUGUUUGAUGCACCUGUUUCUUAUGGUUGUUCCGGCCAAGCGGGCAUCUGCAGCUGCUUCGUCCUCCUCUGCUCCUCGGUCUCGCAGGUCUCGACAUCUCGCAUUCUUUUCCGGCCUUCCUCAAUAUGUCGAUUCUGGUGACUGUACUUGUGUUUGCGAGUUCUGUCGCACAUAUUUCUGGUAUGUUGAAAGGGUGUUCUAAGGUCGGCAUAUGACGAUGUGAUUAGAAACACUUGGACAUCACUUCAGUACAGACCUAUGUAAUCAACAGUGUGAAGGUAGUCUUCUUGAACGAAAAGCCGCAGUCUUCUCGAUUCCUUCCGUAUCUGCUCACUUGGGUGUAAGCAUCCGUGAAAGGUUUUAGGUCAGAUGGCUGCUGAAUUACAAUUGAAGAAGACAAGAAUCGACCAAUUGACGAGAGAUAUGCUUACAAUGGAACAAAGAUACGAGACAGUUUACUUGUGGGUGCGAGGUAAUAAAAUAAGUUGAAAAAAAAGGGUAUCUUCGUAUUGGGAGUUUGCAGGAUGCAACAGUGAGCGAGAGAAGGGUUGAACGACGAGGAAGAUAAAUUUGUGAAGUCGGGUGGUUCUGAUUUGAAGUUCACAAAGCUUGCGCUUGGAGCUUUCUCAUGAGCCCAUACCAGUUAUUGGAACAAUUUCAAUUUUCAAAUAGGAUGAUAGGAUGAUGAAAGCUUGUAAGAACGCAUUUGAUGCAAGUGUAGAUAAUGCUAUAACUUGGUUUGAUCCUGCUGAGUUUUAUGGCUCGAGGUUCUUAUUUGGUACAAAAAAAAUCUGAAGCACUACUAGGAAGGUAGUAGGAUUUCCUGCAACAUUUUAAGUCAGAGUUUAAUAUUUAUGAGGAUGUUAUGCUUCAAAAGAUCAAAGGUUUAUUAAGGUUGAGCUUUUGAAAGAAUACGACAACGUAUGCACACCCCGAGCUCUUUACCAAGAAGUGGGGAACGUUCGCCAGCAGAUUCGGGUGAUGACGAAGAUGGUGAGUCGACUGUUCCAACUAUUCAAAGCCCUGAUUAAAAGGGUUCAUGGAAACUCAUAUUAAGGGUAUAUUGUGUUAGGAGGUGUGGAUUUAGAGGAGAGAUGGUAAAUAUCAACCUUCAGGUCUUUAGUCAAAUAUCUAAAGUACCAUUUGCAUUGUAUUUUUACAAAUUACUUAUUUAUUUGUGGAUGUUAAUAUUUUUAAACUUUAAUCCAUGUAUAUAAUCAUAUUUUAUAUUGUUAACAUACAACAAUGGAAAUUAACUUUUCAUUGAA